rnacentral:lncRNA from 1 species
CUAAAAUAAUGGUGGCCAGGAUUCGAUUCCCCAAUUUCAGUUACCCCCAAACCUACCCCAAUUUCAUUUACCAAAAAUAACCCCACCCCGUCAUCUCUCUCUCGAACAAACCAGACGAUCCCACCGAAACCCUAGCGCUGCCCUCCAUUCAGCCGCCCAAAAACCCGGCGGCCGGUGCUUUGUUCACCGCCAAAAUGACACCCCACAACCACCUUGACCCUCCUCUCCAAAUCACACUCGUUUUACUUCGAAUAAACCUCGAGCCCUUCGAAUAUUAGAUAAAAAAUUUGGUCCGGAAACCCUAGUUCGUCUAAUUGACCCCAAAGUCACACCACUCCACCUCCUGACCUCCCUCGUUCCUAAAACACCAUCGGUUUGGCUCGAAUCGUGCUAGAACUGUUCGAAUCCCAAAUCGAACCAAAAAAACCUAAUGAGACCAAAACUGGAACCUGUCCAAGAUUAAGGAUUUGAGGUUAUUAAUCGACCUUAGUCGAGUGUUUUCAAUCAAGAACACUCUAUUAAGGUCCAUUUGACCCCAUAAGUUCGAAGCAGAGUUCAAGUUGAGUUUGUUUGUUUCAGAUUUUUUUUUUUAAAGUAUUUUUCCUCCUUCCCUUCUUGUUUUAUUUGUUUCCUAUUAUUAUGCAUAGUUUGGUUGGAAUCUAGUUUUGUUUAUCACUCUUCUUCUUCUCCAGUUAGACCUUUUAUUUGGUCGAAUUCUUCUGUUCGUUGAGUGUAUGUUAUAAGCUAUAUAGUCUAUUUGAAUAAUUUCGUCGAAUAGUUAGUUUAUAAGUUCUUUGUUUUUGUCAAUACAACUCGAGUCCUGUGUGUCUGUUUGAUUCUGUUUUUUUGUUGUCAAUUGUAUGUGUUAUAAACUUUGUAAUCGAUUAGUUAAGUAUAGUCGAUUAGUCUGUUUGAAAGAUAGAAGAAGCUUGAUAAUAAUCCAUUUUUGGUCAUUCAGCAUGAUUACCAUCUUGAUCCUUUCUGUUAUGAUUUCUAUGAUUGACAUGAACCUGGUCUUUAUAUUUGUUCACCUGAACCUCAUUCAUUGACUCUUUCUGCUCGAAUCACUGCCCGAAUUAAGACUAGGAUUGAUUAUAGCUAUGUUACGAUUUGGUAAUUAGUAAUGAGUGUUAGUUAUAUUUUUGAGAGGUUUAAAUACAGAUUGCUGAAGCUUUGAAUCAAGGUAGUAACAGUAGGAUUCAGGGGUAAUUUAGGGGUUGGCUAAGCUACUUUACUGAUUGGAAAUUAAAAACAGUAGUUUAAUGAUAAAAGAUAAAAGAAUAUACAUAGGAGAGGGAAUAUAAAAGCUGGAAAGUAAAAAGAGUAGGGAUAAUGAUAAAAGGUUUUUUCUCUUUUACAAUUGAAAAGAACAAAAAAGGGGGCUGGAAGGGGCUCUAGUUUCGCUAUAAUACUGGCAGACCUGGACAGAGAAAAAUUGAGAGAUAGAAAGAGAGAGGAGAGGGAAAACAAUCUGAAAGAGGGGGCUUGGGAAUAAAUUUCAGGGGCCACACUUAAAGAAUAUCAUAAGUUUUUUAACAGAAGCAAUCAGUUCUGUUGGUUUCUUUUGCUGGUCCUUCUUGAAUCAGUUCUAGGAAUCAAUCUUUUAAUUCAGUUUAAGAGAUAGAGUUUACAUAGAAAACUGUCCGCAAGUAAAAGAAACAAGAACCUACUAUUUUAUAAAAAGGUUGCGGAUUGAAUGUGACUUCCAGAAUCAUUUCACUUUUUGUUUACUGGAGUCAGUAGUGUUUUCUGGUUGGUUUUCCAGUGGUUUUGGGUUCAGCUGAGACACUCCAGGAUUUUUUUUGGGGUGUUUGUGUUGCUGUUGGUUUAAAAAUUCAAUCCGGGCUUGGUUGAAUGUGUUUCUGGUUGGUAUUGCUGCUGCUGUUUGAGUUUACUAUUGUGCCUAGGCUGUUCAGUUGUUUGAACUACAUUUGAUCCUUGAUGUGAUUUUCUGCUGUGAUUUGCUUCUGCUGAUCUCUUCUUCUCCUUCCUGUUGAUUUCUUAUUUCCAGGUAUACAAUUUGAAUUCACUUUGAUGUAACUGCAGAUAUGAAUGAAAUGAAGCCUUAUUCCAGAAUUCCUAGUUACAGACAAUCAUCUGAUGUAUGCUUGUUUAAUUUUUAAUUUGCUUGAACUGUAUUGAACUGGGAUUUGCAUAAUUAGGACCAUUUUCUAGCUGAUGUGAAUUGCCUAAUGUGUACUGGAUGGAAAGGUUAAUUUCUAUAAAAUGUGAUUAGAUGAAACAUAAUUGGUUCAACUUUGUCAAGUUUGUUUUCUAGUAAUUAAACGUGGUAGUAAAACUGGGUUUUAGGACUGUCAAAUAUGGAUUGGUCUUAGCUGUGAUAUAUUUUAGUGUGUUUGGACUAGUGAAAAGUUUUGAAGUUAACAAUGACUAAGCAGGAAAAAAAAUGUUUUGAAUUCUAGUGAGGUUAACUUUGACGAUUAGUUUAAAUCGUAUUUUCAGUUCGCCUUAGUCUGCCAUAUUCGCCCAAGUUUAAAUUGAUUCC